AGCGAACGCUGGCGGCAGGCUUAACACAUGCAAGUCGAACGGCAUAGCAAUAUGUCCGUGGCAGACGGGUGAGUAACGCGUGGGAACGUACCUUUUGGUUCGGAACAACACAGGGAAACUUGUUCUAAUACCGGAUAAGCCCUUACGGGGAAAGAUUUAUCGCCGAAAGAUCGGCCCGCGUCUGAUUAGCUAGUUGGUAGGGUAAUGGCCUACCAAGGCGACGAUCAGUAGCUGGUCUGAGAGGAUGAUCAGCCACAUUGGGACUGAGACACGGCCCAAACUCCUACGGGAGGCAGCAGUGGGGAAUAUUGGACAAUGGGCGAAAGCCUGAUCCAGCCAUGCCGCGUGAGUGAUGAAGGCCCUAGGGUUGUAAAGCUCUUUUGUGCGGGAAGAUAAUGACGGUACCGCAAGAAUAAGCCCCGGCUAACUUCGUG
rnacentral:rRNA from 1 species